GAGAGGGGAAAAUGAGUCUGGAUGAAACAGUUUAUUCCCUGAAUACUGCAAAGCCUCCUCAGACUUGGAUGACCCAUAGGCAUCCCCAAGCCAAUCCUGCCACCUCAGUAAUUGCCAGGAACACAGAUCUCUCUCCUUCUGGAAGGUCUUCACUGAGGACAAAUGUGGUGUUUCUGCCUCUGACCCCACCUUCCAUGACAAGGGAAAACAAAGAAGAGGAAAAGGGAAAGCCAGAGAAGAGGAAAAGGGAAAGACAUGGAAAGAAGAAUCCCUUCCCUGCUCUCCACCAAUAACCUUGACUUUCUGGGCAGUUGCUGCCAUUGCUGCUUCAAGACCUUGUCCUCUCAUCUCUCUGAUAUUUCAAGUCCCUAGAGCAAGGUCUGGGGCAUCUUUCUCUGCAUCUUAAGGCAAGAUCCAGUAGACAGCCAGUGAGCAGAAAAUAACUUGACAGGAGAACAAAAAAGUAUGCUUUUAAAAUUUGUUUUCUGAACAGCCUGAUGAUCAGGUAAACACUGUAAGCAUUCACGAGUGGGCAGAGAGACAAAAUUAGAGAAAACAUUCCCAGCGCUCACCAUGGAUCUGUUCCCAACCUCGUCACCGAUUCCUCCCACCUUCAAAAUUAAUUUUUCUCAACAGUCAGCCCAAAGGAAGAGCCUGAAGAUCUCGGGAAUGCGUGCUCUCAAAACAAAUUGUUUUUCAUCUGAGAAUUGGGGACUUCUGCUUGAAAAAUAACCAUCUAUGGCAUAAACAUGGCAAUAGGACAUGAGCAUGUGGGAUGGGCCCAUGAGUAGCCCUUCUUGAAGACAGCUACCUGGGGGGAAGGCCCCUCUGCUAUAGUCAGUCUGAGCACACAGAGAUCUCCCCACACUUCCCAAAAUGUCCAGGGACCUCUGGAGAGAAUCUCUGAGGAUUUUUCAGGUAUGCCAGCUCCUGACUGCAAAAAGGGUCUCCUGGCUUGAGCCACUCACCCAGGCUUGUUCUCUGUUCUACUCUGGUCACCUCCACACUGAGCUCCAGAGCCCUUCACCUUGGUUCUGGUCAAAACUGUUCUCUUACCUCUUUUGAAAAAAUAGAGAUGGGGUCUCACUAUGUUGCCCAGUCUGGUCUCGAACUCCUGAGCUCAAGCAAUCCUCCUGCUUUGGCCUCCCAAAGCGCUAGGAUUAUAGGCAUGAGCCACCGCACCUGGCCUCCCUUACCUUUUGACCCAGCAAUUCUUCUUCUAGAAGGUAUUCUGAUAAACUUGCCCAUGUGCAGCAAGAUCCAGGUGCAAACCUGCCCAUUACCACCUUAUUCAUAAGAGCACAAAAUUGAGAGCAACUUACAUGUCCAUCAGAAGAGGACUGGCUAAGUUAAUUUUGGCACACCCAGAUGAUGGAAUAAUAAACAGUCCUUCAAUAUGUGCUGAUAGGAAAAG
rnacentral:lncRNA from 13 species